UAGUUAAAUGACCAGAAAUCAAGUUUCUCUGCUGAGGGUAAAAGAGCCAAUGAGGAGACAGAAGAAGAAAGCUACAUUUAACAGACAAUUCCAGGACUCCUACUGGAAACAUGGAGUUAUUACAACAGGGUUAUUACGCGGCGAGCGGCCCUCUGAUGAGGCCAUGGAGCCUUCAAAACUGCUCCACCACGUCUGCAUUAAAAGACAAGAGCGAUGUUAGGAGGACGCGGCUACCACAGUUGACCACACGGUGGAUUAGCGUUGGUUAACCUUACAGGUCGGUCUACAGGACUGCAGGAGUCUGAGGAGAUCAACAGGUUCUGACCUACAACCAUCUGGGUUUCACUCAUUUUCUUAGAGCAGACAAAGAAGCAGGUCGUGACCUGGUGUCAAAGGUCAUCCAGAGAAGCAGUUCUCAGAUGGAGACUCCACUGAAGAAGAAGCAGACAUUUAUAUAAAUGUAUGUCACAUAUAUAAAUAUAACUGUACAGUGUGUGUGUGUGUGUGAUGAAGAACCAGGACGACGUCACGUGUUAGUAUUUUAUUGACUUUCAGGCUUAAAUAUGUUUAAUAUAAAAGGCUAAAUUUAAAUGACUUUUCCUGGCUGUGGUUGAGGCACAUGACAGGAAGUCGGCUGUAAAUGACAGGAAGUCGACUGUAAAUGACAGCAGUCAGUAAGAAACCACACUACAGCCACACUGGUCCUCAGUCCUUAUGUUUGACUUCAACUCCUUUAACCUUGUUGUCUUGCCAUCAUUCACUAGUCCAAGUCAAGGAGUGAUGGUCCACACAUGGUCCACACAUGGUCUGACAGGUCAGACCAACAGGAGUGACGGGGGGGGUGGGGGGGGCUUUAAUAUGAUGUAGAAAGACAGGCACAUUACAGUGUCAGCACUGAUGCUGUAACAGAAGGUAAGAA